rnacentral:lncRNA from 10 species
CCAUUGUGCAGCUACUGUUGACUUUUCCUGCAGAAGAAAAAUCUGUCUAAAAGGACAUCUUGAAAGGCUAAGAGGGCGUGUUGGGACCUUCUGCCAGCUGGCCUGAAGAGGCUCACAAACCACCUCUUCCUCCUGGUUCCUUUGGAAAUUCCACUGGGCAAUGCAGACUGGUUCAUCUUCUUGUACUUAACUGAGCUGCCAGGUUGGAAAUAGUCCUAAACUUUUCGCACAGAGCUGUAAUCUUAAACUGUAAUUUUAUUUUAUUUUAUUUUUAAAAUUUUUAAAAUUUUAAAUUUUUUUUUAAAUUAUUAUACUUUUAAGUUAUAGGGUACAUGUGCACUAGGUGCAAGUUUGUUACAUAUGUAUACAUGUGCCAUGUUGGUGUGCUGCACCCAUUAACUUGUCAUUUACAUUAGGUAUAUCUCCUAAUGCUAUCCCUCCCCGC